rnacentral:rRNA from 1 species
GCGGCCGUAACUAUAACGGUCCUAAGGUAGCGAAAUUCCUUGUCGGUUAAAUACCGACCUGCAUGAAUGGCGUAACGAGAUGGGAGCUGUCUCAACCAGAGAUUCAGUGAAAUUGUAGUGGAGGUGAAAAUUCCUCCUACCCGCGGCAAGACGGAAAGACCCCGUGGA